UUCGGGAUGCUGGCGAGCGGCGGACGGGUGAGUAACACGUGGGAAUCUGCCCAUCGGUGGGGGAUAGCCCGAGGAAACUCGGAUUAAUACCGCAAACGCCCUACGGGGCAAAGUAGACCUCUGAUUUAAGUUUACGCCGAUGGAUGAGCCCGCGGCCGAUUAGCUAGUUGGUGGGGUAAAGGCCUACCAAGGCAACGAUCGGUAGCUGGUCUGAGAGGACGAUCAGUCACACCGGAACUGAGACACGGUCCGGACUCCUACGGGAGGCAGCAGUGGGGAAUAUUGGACAAUGGGCGAAAGCCUGAUCCAGCAAUGCCGCGUGGGUGAAGAAGGCUUGAGGGUUGUAAAGCCCUUUCAGCAGGGAGGAAAAGCGUACGGUUAAUACCCGGGCGUCUUGACGUUACCUGCAGAAGAAGCACCGGCUAACUCCGUGCC
rnacentral:rRNA from 1 species